rnacentral:rRNA from 1 species
AUACCGGGCCUUUUUGGGCUUGGUAAUUGGAAUGAGGGAGAGUUAAACGGACCAUCGAGUAUCCAUUGGAGGGCAAGUCUGGUGCCAGCAGCUGCGGUAAUACCAGCUCCAAUAGCGUAUAUUAAAGUUGUUGCAGUUAAAAAGCUCGUAGUUGGACUUGUGUGCGCUGUCCGCGGGUGGCCUGCGCCCAAAAGGGCGUUUCGGUUCGGCCCCGGUGGCGCCUUGAAAUCUGCAGCUGGGGGGACGUUGGCCUUAACUGGUCGGCGACCGCACGCCGGCUGCUCGGUUACUGUGAGAAAAUUAGAGUGUUCAAGGCAGGCAUUGGGUGCAAUUGAAUACAUUAGCAUGGAAUAAUAAAAUAUGGCUCCUGCCGUAUUUUGUUGGUUUUGACUGGUGGGAGUAAUGAUUGAUAGGGACGGUUGGGGGUGCUAGUAUUGAGCGGCCAGAGGUGAAAUUCAUGGAUUCGCUCAAGACUAACUUAUGCGAAAGCAUUCACCAAGGACGUCCUCUUUAAUCAAGAACGAAAGUUGGGGGAUCGAAGACGAUCAGAUACCGUCGUAGUCUCAACCAUAAACUAUGUCGACUUGGGAUCGGCGGUAGUUUUUUCAUUAAGACACUGUCGGGACCACGGGAGAAAUCAAAGUGUCUGGACUCUGGGGGAAGUAUGGUCGCAAGGCUGAAACUUGAAGGAAUUGACGGAAGGGCACCACCAGGAGUGGAGCCUGCGGCUUAAUUUGACUCAACACGGGGAAACUUACCAGGUCCAGAGAUGUAGAGGAUUGACAGAUUGAAGCUCUUUCUUGAUCACUUCGGUGGUGGUGCAUGGCCGUUCUUAGUUGGUGGAGUGAUUUGUCUGGUUAAUUCCGUUAACGAACGAGACCUCAGCCUGCUAGUGUAGUCGGCUGGAUUGCCUUUGGCGAUCCGUGAUUUCGACUUCUUAGAGGGACAAUCGACGCGCAGUCGAUGGAAGUUUGAGGCAAUAACAGGUCUGUGAUGCCCUUAGAUGUUCUGGGCCGCACGCGCGCUACACUGCUGGGCUCAGCGAGUUUUACUUGGCCGAGAGGCCCGGUUAAUCUUAUGAAAUCCCAGCGUGCUUGGGCUCGCCUCCUGCAACUGGAGGCGCCAACGAGGAAUUCCUAGUAGACGCAGGUCAUCAACCUGCAUCGAUUACGUCCCUGCCCUUUGUACACACCGCCCGUCGUUCCAUAAGAGUGAGGCAUCCGGUGAAUUCUCGGGAGAGCCUGGGCGUGGCCAGCAAUGGUCUGCUCGGGUUUGAACUUGCAUAAACUUGGUGCCUAUGAUUAGGG